AUUGAACGCUGGCGGCAUGCUUUACACAUGCAAGUCGAACGGUAACAGGUUAAGCUGACGAGUGGCGAACGGGUGAGUAAUGCAUCGGAACGUGCCCGGUCGUGGGGGAUAACGCAGCGAAAGCUGCGCUAAUACCGCAUACGAUCUGAGGAUGAAAGCGGGGGACCGUAAGGCCUCGCGCGAUCGGAACGGCCGAUGUCAGAUUAGGUAGGUGGUGGGGUAAAGGCUCACCAAGCCAACGAUCUGUAGCUGGUCUGAGAGGACGACCAGCCACACUGGGACUGAGACACGGCCCAGACUCCUACGGGAGGCAGCAGUGGGGAAUUUUGGACAAUGGGCGAAAGCCUGAUCCAGCAAUGCCGCGUGCAGGAAGAAGGCCUUCGGGUUGUAAACUGCUUUUGUACGGAGCGAAAAGGUCUCCUCUAAUACAGGGGGCUCAUGACGGUACCGUAAGAAUAAGCACCGGCUAACUACGUGCCAGCCGCCGCGGUAA
rnacentral:rRNA from 1 species